rnacentral:rRNA from 1 species
UACAGAGGUCUCAAGCGUUGUUCGGAUUCAUUGGGCGUAAAGAGCUCGUAGGCGGCUUGUCACGUCGGCUGUGAAAACCUGGGGCUCAACCCCGGGCCUGCAGCCGAUACGGGCAAGCUAGAAUUCGGUAGGGGAGACUGGAAUUCCUGGUGUAGCGGUGAAAUGCGCAGAUAUCAGGAGGAAUACCAAUGGCGAAGGCAGUGCUCUGGGCUAACACUGACGCUGAGGUGCGAAAGCUAGGGGAGCGAACGGG